UCGUGGGGUGGCUUGUCUGCUUGAUUGCGAUAACGAACGAGACCUUAACCUGCUAAAUAGCCCGGUCCGCUUUGGCGGACCGCUGGCUUCUUAGAGGGACUAUCGGCUCAAGCCGAUGGAAGUUUGAGGCAAUAACA
rnacentral:rRNA from 1 species